CCAGCUGAUGAGUCUAAGGCAAAUGAGACCUCGUGCUCUCUGAUCCUUGGCUCCUCGCAGGGUGGCGGUUUUGAACGGGAUCUGAAAUCUUAGUAGGAGGCCUGGCUCCCCACUGUAAGGCAGAUCAAUAUUAUCUGUGUAUAACAACAGUUUUAUUUCUUCCUUUCUAAUCUUUGUACUUAAAUCUUUUUCUUGUCC
rnacentral:snoRNA from 1 species